rnacentral:tRNA from 1 species
GGAAUGUGGCUUAGUGGUAGAGUGCUUGCCUAACAUGCAUGAAGCCCUGGGUUCAAUUCCUCAGUACCA